AAUCAACGCUGGCGGCGUGCCUAACACAUGCAAGUCGAACGAGAAAGUGGCAGCAAUGCCAUGAGUACAGUGGCGCACGGGUGAGUAACACGUGACUAACCUACCCAGGAGUGGGGAAUAACUUCGGGAAACCGAGGCUAAUACCGCAUAACACCUACGGGUCAAAGGAGCAAUUCGCUUCUGGAGGGGGUCGCGGCCGAUUAGUUAGUUGGCAGGGUAAUGGCCUACCAAGACGAUGAUCGGUAUCCGGCCUGAGAGGGCGCACGGACACACUGGAACUGAAACACGGUCCAGACUCCUACGGGAGGCAGCAGUGGGGAAUUUUGCGCAAUGGGGGAAACCCUGACGCAGCAACGCCGCAUGGAGGAUGAAGUCC
rnacentral:rRNA from 1 species